GUGGGGAAUUUUGGACAAUGGGCGCAAGCCUGAUCCAGCAAUGCCGCGUGCAGGAAGAAGGCCUUCGGGUUGUAAACUGCUUUUGUACGGAACGAAACGGUCCGGGUUAAUACCCUGGGCUAAUGACGGUACCGUAAGAAUAAGCACCGGCUAACUACGUGCCAGCAGCCGCGGUAAUACGUAGGGUGCGAGCGUUAAUCGGAAUUACUGGGCGUAAAGCGUGCGCAGGCGGCUUUGCAAGACAGAUGUGAAAUCCCCGGGCUCAACCUGGGAACUGCAUUUGUGACUGCAAGGCUAGAGUACGGCAGAGGGGGAUGGAAUUCCGCGUGUAGCAGUGAAAUGCGUAGAUAUGCGGAGGAACACCAAUGGCGAAGGCAAUCCCCUGGGCCUGUACUGACGCUCAUGCACGAAAGCGUGGGGAGCAAACAGGAUUAGAUACCCUGGUAGUCC
rnacentral:rRNA from 1 species